CGUGUAGGGAGAUAUAUAAUAAGUGAAGACCUUCACAUCCCAUCAUAACAUGACAAUGCUUGUAUCGCAGGAAUGUUGCAUAUGUUGAUGGACACAGAUCUUGAUGAAACUCAACAAGAUUAUGUUAGAACUGCACAGGAAAGUGGAAAAGCUUUGGUUUCACUUAUAAAUGAGGUCUUGGACCAAGCGAAGAUUGAAUCUGAUGUUCUAUUCGGUUUGUACAGACGAUGGGGAAAAAGCAAUUGCUUUGCUCAGACCACCGCAUGAUUUUGAUGCCUGCUUCAUGGAUAUCCAGAUGCCAGGAAUGGAUGGAUUUGAAGCUACAAAAAGAAUUUGACAGAUGGAACAAACUCCGCGAGCAAGGAAUUCCUACCGGGACAGUCAUCCUCAGAGCCACGUGAAAAUAUCUCGAAUUUCCACCUACCAAUCUUCACCAUGACUGCAGGUGUGAUUCACGCUACUCAUGAAGAAUGCACAAAAUAUGGAAUGGAUGGAUAUGUUUCAAAGCCAUUUGAAGCGGAACAACUUUUUAGAGAAGUUUCGCACUUUUUCCCAGUCAUCAUUGAAUUGAAACUUGUAGAGAGGCCACUGUAGAUGGCUAAUUGUUUUGGUGAGCAGAAGUCUUGGUUGUUUAGGCACUUUGGCAGCCUUACUGGCGAACUUUCGAAUUCUUAAACAAGAGUGUGUCUUGUCACGGGAGCAUAUACAUAAAGAAGCUAAGGUCACCCGCUGGAGUUGAAUUUUCAUUGAUUUCCCUACGAGUGGCAUAUUGGUUCAAAACUACUUCAAUUAUUUUCUGUACAGCCGAUCUGAACCGUUUGCAAGAUGACGGUUGGUAAUUAGGCAAUCUGAAGUUCGCCAAUUAAACUACGGAUUGAUGGUUGCUUGGAAAUGGUGCAGGAAUCUCUCUGACAUAGGUGGAUAUCUGUAGACUAGACCCUCACAGUGUCUACAUGCAUGUAGCUUUAGAGAUUGUUAGAUGGUUGCGUGCUCAAAUUUGAUGGGCACGAAUUUGAUGUCAGAUGGUUGUGUGCUUACUAUUAUCUCGUUGUACAUAGACACAAGGUCAUUAUGAGUAAUGAAGGUGACUCCUCUUAGCAAUAA